rnacentral:lncRNA from 1 species
CGCCGGAGCUGAGAGCCCGCGACCUGCCGGACCAGGGCUGGGCCGCGGGUCAAUGAUCCAGGAAAUCCCGUCACUCGCGUGCCUGUGGCUGAAGCGCGGCAGCUUGUCUUGUCCGUUUCGUGUCAGUUUCAGGGCUGAGUGGCAGCGUCUGGACUUUGCGGACGCCGAGGGCUCAGAUGCUGGGCUCUGGGGAGGGAGAGGGCGCCGGCCGGCCUGUCCCUCUCCGGGGAUUUGCAGGGAGAAGAUUUCGUCUGAGGACGUAGGCCGAACCUUGUGUUUUAUAUGUCAUAUGAAUUACGCUCUGA